rnacentral:rRNA from 1 species
GACGAACGCUGGCGGCGUGCUUAACACAUGCAAGUCGAACGGUGAAGCGCCUUCCUUUUUGGUGGGUGUGGAUGAGUGGCGAACGGGUGAGUAACACGUGAGAACCCUCCCCCUUCUUUCGGAUAAACGCAUGAAAGUGUGGCCAAAAAGGGGAAAUCCUGGGCCGUCGGAUGGAUGGUUUGGGGAAGGUUUUGGUUUGGGGGGGGGUGGGCUCGCGGCCUAUCAGCUUGUUGGGGGGGGGAUGGCCUACCAAGGCGGUGACGGGUAGCCGGCCUGAGAGGGUGGACGGUCACACUGGGACUGAGACACGGCCCAGACUCCUACGGGAGGCAGCAGUGGGGAAUAUUGCACAAUGGGCGCAAGCCUGAUGCAGCGACGCCGCGUGAGGGAUGGAGGCCUUCGGGUUGUGAACCUCUUUCGCCAGUGAGGCAGGCCUGCCUCGUUUGUGGGUGGGUUGACGGUAGCUGGAUAAGAAGCGCCGGCUAACUACGUG